AAACUUUCUUGAUUGUUAACUUUGGUUUAUAAAAGAAAUGUUGAUUUAUCAACUAUAGCGAUAAAUGCUUUAUGUAAUAGGUUGUGCGGACCCGGGGGCGGUACCCGGCGCCUCCACCAUAAAUUUAAUGGGGGCGAAAUAGGUUUGACGUUGACUAAAAGAUAAAGACUUUGCUCGGCAUUAUACCACCGUUAUCGGGUUAUUUUUAUAAACGCUAACGAUAAUAGAUUAGCUAUCGCUGCCUAGAUUCUAGGCUAGCGCGGUUUGGGGCACCGGGCAACAGAACGCCCCACU
rnacentral:tmRNA from 1 species